UACGGAGGGUGCAAGCGUUGUUCGGAAUCACGGGGCGUACAGCGCGUGUAGGCGGCCUCCUCAGUCUGAUGUGAAAGCCCGGGGCUCACCCCCGGAAGUGCAUUGGAUACUGGGAGGCUGGAGUACCGGAGAGGAGGGUGGAAUUUCUGGUGUAGCGGUGAAAUGCGUAGAUAUCAGGAGGAACACCGGUGGCGAAGGCGGCCCUCUGGACGGAUACUGACGCUGAGACGCGACAGCGUGGGGAGCAAACAGG
rnacentral:rRNA from 1 species